rnacentral:lncRNA from 1 species
UUAUAUCAUAUAAUUUAUGAAAACAAAUUAUAACUACAACCACCACGGCACGCGCCAAAAAGACACGAUUCGUACCGUGUCCGCGCGUCGCACCCGGCCGGCCGGCCCGGCAACACUCACAUCGGCCCCGUUAGUACCGGUUAUCAAUUCGAAGAUGGUUAUGUAUUGCUGUCAGCGAUCGAGCAAGUGGCCGUGGCGGCCCUAGAAAAACACGAUCGAUCGGUGCGCGCGGCUGCGUGCUUAACGGCUGGCGCAUGUGUCGGUGACUCGAGCGCCUAGAUAGGAACGGAUGCAUAUAGUUUCUUCACACAUUACAUAUCUUUCAUAUUUAUACGUGCAUACAUUUAUUUUUGUAAACCACACAAGCACAUUAUAGUUUUAUAAGCAUUUUUGGGUGACCGAGCUCACAUAUCGUCUUGAGAUUAAUGCAAAUAUCGCAUACAAUUCAUAAUCGAUGAAAACUUCUUUUCCAAAAUUCUAAAAUAAAAUUAAAAAAAUACGAACAUCAUUGUCAAGUCUAGAUUUAAACCCUGACGAGCCACAAAUAUUCUUACUUACCAUACAGUUGACUUUGAUUUGAUCCGGCAACAAGGUUUGACAACAACACCCUCCUGGUUGGUUUUUUUCUUAACUUCGCGGCGUAUAGAUAAGCUAUGCCUGCGUCAGUGGCUGAUUCGUCAACGGAUCAAUCUCUCUUGGUUGCUUAGCUAGGAGCAUAAACGCC